rnacentral:rRNA from 1 species
ACUUGGUCUUUGGGUGGCGCAGCUAACGCAUUAAGUUAUCCCGCCGGGGGAGUACGACCCGCAAGGUUAAAACUCAAAGGAAUUGACGGGGGCCUGCACAAGCGGUGGAGCAUGUGGUUUAAUUUGAAGCAACGCGCAGAGCCUUACCAGCGUUUGACAUGUCCGGACGAUUUCCAGAGAUGGAUUUCUUCCCUUCGGGGACUGGAGCACAGGUGCUGCAUGGCUGUCGUCAGCUCGUGUCGUGAGAUGUUGGGUUAAGUCCCGCAACGAGCGCAACCCUCGCCUUUAGUUACCAUCAUUUAGUUGGGUACUUUAAAGGAACCGCCGGUGAUAAGCCGGAGGAAGGUGGGGAUGACGUCAAGUCCUCAUGUCCCUUACGCUCUGGGCUACACGCGUGCUACAAUGGCGGUGACAGUGGGCUGCAAUCCCGCGAGGGUGAGCUAAUCUCCAAAAGCCGUCUCAGUUCGGAUCGUUAUCUGCAACUCGAGAGCGAGAAGGCGGAAUCGUUAGUAAUCGCGGAUCAGCAUCACCCGCGAAUUAA